CCUACGGGUGGCAGCAGUCGAGAAUUAUUCACAAUGGGGGAAACCCUGAUGGUGCGACGCCGCGUGGGGGAAUGAAGGUCUUCGGAUUGUAAACCCCUGUCAUGUGGGAGCAAAUUAAAAAGAUAGUACCACAAGAGGAAGAGACGGCUAACUCUGUGCCAGCAGCCGCGGUAAUACAGAGGUCUCAAGCGUUGUUCGGAAUCACUGGGCGUAAAGCGUGCGUAGGCUGUUUCGUAAGUCGUGUGUGAAAGGCGCGGGCUCAACCCGCGGACGGCACAUGAUACUGCGAGACUAGAGUAAGGGAGGGGGAACCGGAAUUCUCGGUGUAGCAGUGAAAUGCGUAGAUAUCGAGAGGAACACUCGUGGCGAAGGCGGGUUCCUGGACAUUAACUGACGCUGAGGCACGAAGGCCAGGGGAGCGAAAGGGAUUAGAUACCCUGGUAGUC
rnacentral:rRNA from 1 species